GAGAGUUCUGCACUGGACAGGGGAAGAGCCACUGGGAGAUAGGUUUAGGCUCUUCUUCAGACUCACAAAACUUAAGUUAGAAAUUGAUACAACCCACGGAGGUAUAUGCAGAUGCCUGAAUGUCAUCAAGUCCUUGAUGAGACCGGUGAACUCUUUCCUGUUCUGUGCCUGCACCAUACUACUUCUGUUUGUCCAGUAGCUAUGAAUCAGUAAGGCCAGUAAACAAUUACUGAUCCUGUUCCCAUUCAAGUCAAACAUGGCAGGGAAUGUGUUCUUCCCACUUCACAGUAGUUUCAUGAUGGUGCAGGUGCUGAUGCAAGAGUCCUGAGGAAAAUCCAAGAAGUCUGUGUGCGCACUGAUGUCUCUUCUGCAAUCUGUUUUACACCACACAGUAUAGUUUUAAUAUGAUUUCUACAGCCUCGUACAGGCCAAGUCAGCUGAAUUAUUGUAAUAAAAAAAAAAAAAGGAAACCGUGAUCUCAAGAACUUCAUGAUGAUACCAGUGAAAAAGUUAACUUAGAGGACUAAGUGUAGCCUUUUGUAUCACCUGACCAACAGUGCCAAGCAAUAAAAAUA